rnacentral:rRNA from 1 species
UACGUAGGGUGCGCGCGUUGUCCGGAAUUACUGGGCGUAAAGAGCUUGUAGGUGGUUUGUCGCGUUGUUCGUGAAAUCUCACGGCUUAACUGUGAGCGUGCGGGCGAUACGGGCAGACUAGAGUACUGCAGGGGAGACUGGAAUUCCUGGUGUAGCGGUGGAAUGCGCAGAUAUCAGGAGGAACACCGGUGGCGAAGGCGGGUCUCUGGGCAGUAACUGACGCUGAGAAGCGAAAGCGUGGGGAGCGAACAGG